UGGGUAUUUUUUUUUUCAAAAUACAUGCUUCAACAGAUGCGCCAUGGAUUUUCAUCCACCUCUGUUGAUAACGCCUGGUUAUCUGUACCUUGCUUCUCAAAAAGAGUCAUUAAACAAGGAGGUAAUAAAAAAAUAGAAGCUUUCCAGUUUACAGAACGGGACUUCUUCCUUUGGCAAAAUGUAUCAGACUCUGGUGCUCAGAUGGUGAGCACUGCACAUUUGGACAGGUACAGCCCUGUAGUGCUCCAGAACUCUGACGCCAGAAGGUAAUGGAGGAUGGACGCGUCAAACUUUCCCUCAGUGGCCCUAGGUAGGUGCGUCAGUGGCUUAAAUUAGUUAGGCCUUUAGUUUCUAAUUCCCUUUUUAAAGUUGUCACCUGAGAACAACUCGACUCUGACAGCACACACAGGAAGUGAGGUGUUCUGCUUGGCUAGCAAACACUGGAACCCUGCAGUCACUUCAGCGCUUUAGACAUUUAGAGAGCUACGAUUUUACAACUGAAGAAAGGUCUGGGAGGACAGGUACAUCGUAAAAUGACAUUGUGCACUCUUUGUGGAAAGAGGCAUAUUUCAAAUAACUGAAGUAUGCUCCCAGGCUUCACACGGCCUCCAGGCCCUGUUCUCUGCAAUGCUGUUUGGUUUUAAGGUCUCUCAGCCCACGGGUAGCUGCUGCUCUGUUUCUGUCUGUGGACAGGGUAUAUGAUAGAGUCACAGCCCUGCUUCAGUUACCCAAUACCUGCACUGCAGGCUACGCCCGUGCAGGUUCCAGGAACUGCUCUGCUCCAUUAUAUGACAGGAAACUCUGCUUGUUCAUCAGUUUUCUGUAAAGCCCAUUGGGCUUCAGGAGCAGCUCUUCAUGUGUCCCGUGUUCACAGAUCUUUCCGUGGUCAAGGACAGCAACAAAGUUGGCAUUCUUAAUGGUGGACAGGCGGUGGGCUAUGAUCAGCACGGUUCUCCCUUCCAUCAGCCGGUCAAGGGCCUCCUGGACCAGGUGCUCAUUUUCGGCAUCCAGUGCACUGUGACAGACAAGGCCACACACAAGAGGAAGCAGAGAUGACAGAGCUGUAUACAUGGUUGCUCACACUGCUAAGACGCCCUCCAGCCUGGACACACGCACACUAGAUACACUAACACUGUCACACAUGUCACAAAGAUAACCUCACCUGGUUGCUUCAUCAAGGAGAAGAAUUUUGGGGUUCUGAAAAAGUAAGAGUGGAAGAAUCAAAAUGACUUCUCAGUACACACAGCGCUGGACAGCGAGAGGACAGCUGAGGCUCAGUAUGUAAAGGCACUAACCACCAAGCCUGACAGCCCGAACGCCACACCAUUAGACCUGACAAGUUGUUUGCUGACCUUUGUGUACUCCGUCCC
rnacentral:lncRNA from 1 species